GACAGAGGGGGCAAGCGUUGCUCGGAAUUACUGGGCGUAAAGCGUGCGCAGGCGGUUUUGUAAGCCAGAUGUGAAAUCCCCGGGCUUAACCUGGGAAUGGCAUUUGGGACUGCAAGGCUGGAGUGUGGCAGAGGAGACUGGAAUUCCCGGUGUAGCAGUGAAAUGCGUAGAUAUCGGGAGGAAUACCGAUGGCGAAGGCAGGUCUCUGGGCUGACACUGACGCUCAUGCACGAAAGCGUGGGGAGCAAACAGG
rnacentral:rRNA from 1 species